rnacentral:rRNA from 1 species
UACGUAGGGACCAAGCGUUGUUCGGAUUUACUGGGCGUAAAGGGCGCGUAGGCGGCAUAUUAAGUCAGCUGUGAAAUCUCCGAGCUUAACUCGGAACUGUCAGCUGAUACUGAUGUGCUAGAGUGCAGGAAGGGCAAUCAGAAUUCUUGGUGUAGCGGUGAAAUGCGUAGAUAUCAAGAGGAAUACCUGAGGCGAAGGCGGGUUGCUAGGCUGACACUGACGCUGAGGCGCGAAAGCCAGGGGAGCAAACGGG